rnacentral:lncRNA from 10 species
GAAAGCUCUGCCUCAGGGGGCAAGACUCCUGGUUGGCACUGGGGCCUUUAUUGAAAUCUCCCUGGAUUAAAUGGCCUUAGUUUACUAAUGCCCAGUCUGAGGAGAGUCAGGAGGGACAGAAGUACUUUUCUGAAGUAGACAGCUGUCUUUGACUUGGCAAGUCCUCACAGGCUAUAACAAGGCAAGCAUUAAAUGCAACAGUUUGAGGCGAAAUUGACUUGGUUAUGUUAAUAACUAGAUGGUCAGCAAUAGAGCGCGAAAAGAAGAACGAGUAAUAGAAUAGAUGAAAAUAGUUAGAUUUUUCUUAGCUUUAGUUUGGUAGAGUUUUCCUCUGGGACUACGGCCUACGAGUCUGGAGGGGGUGGCACUUUCUUGACUCGGAUGUGAAGAGUCCAUCCUUUUUUGCUGUACGAACAGCAGUCUUGGUGGUUAGCAGCGCAAGGUAGGGUCCUUCCCAGGCUGACUGGAGUUUUUCUUCUUUCCACCUUUCGAUGAGAACGUGAUCUUCAGGCUGCUGCUGGUUUACCGGAAAUUCUAAGGGUAGUACAUGUGCUAAAAGACUUUUAGUUUUGAGGGAAAGGAAAGUGGAAGACACCGAGUUAAAGAAGGAAGAGGUUUAUCGGCCGGUAGCAUCGGCAGGACUCCUGUCUCAAGAGCCGAGCUCCCCAGGUGAGCAAUUCCUGUCCCUUUUAAGGGCUCACAACUCUAAGGGAGUCCGCAUGAGGAGGUCAUGAUCAAUUGAGCAAGCAGGGGGUAUGUGACAGGGGCUG